CUCAUGGAGAGUUCGAUCCUAUCUCAGGAUGAACACUGACGGGAUACUUAACACAUGCAAAUCAGAUGGGAAACACGAGAAAUGGUGUUUCCAGUGGCGGACGGGUGAGUAACGCAUAAGAACCUGCUCUUGGCAGGGGAACAACAGCUGGAAAUGGCUGCUAAUACCCCGUAGACUGAGGAGCAAAAGGAGGAAUCCGCCCGAGGAGGGGCUCACGUCUGAUUAGCUAGUUGGUGAGGCAAUAGCUUACCAAGGAAUGAACAGUAGCUGGUCCGAGAGGAUGAUCAGCCAUACUAGGACUGAGACACGGCCCAGACUCCUACGAGAGGCAGUAGUGGGGAAUUUUAUGCAAUGAGCGAAAGCCUGACAGAGCAAUGCCGUGUAGAGGUAGAAGGCCCACGGUUCGUGCAGUUCUUUUCCCAGAGAAGAAGCCAUGAUGGUAUCUGGGGAAUAAGCAUUGGCUAACUCUGUGCCAGCAGCCGUGGUAAUACAGAGGAUGCAAGCGUUAUCUAGAAUGAUUGGGCGUAAAGCGUUUGUUGGUAUCUUUUUAAGUCCGCCUUCAAAUCUCAGGGCUCAACCCUGGAAAGGUAGUGGAAACUACCAAGCUAGAGUACGGUAGGGGGAGAGGGAAUUUAAGGUGAAGCAAUGAAAUGCGUAGAGAUUGAAAAGAACACCAAUGGUGUAAGUACUCUGCUGGGCCAACACUGACACUGAGAGAUGAAAUCUAGGGAAGCAAAUGGUAUUAGAUACCCCAGUAAUCCUAGCCGCAAACGAUGGAUACUAGGCACUGUGCGUAUUGACCGUACAUUGCUGUAGCUAACACGUUAAGUAUCCCACCUGAGGAGUAUGUUCGCAAAAAUGAAACUCAAAGGAAUUGAUGGGGGCCCGCACAAACGAUGGAGCAUGUGGUUUAAUUUGAUUCAAAGAGAAGAACCUUACUAGGGCUUGACAUGCAGUGAAUCCUCUUAAAAGAGAGGGGUGCCUUCGAGAACGCAGACACAGGUGGUGCAUGACUGUCGUCAGCUCGUGCCGUAAGAUAUUGGGUUAAGUCCCAUAAUAAGCGCAACCCUCGUGUUUAGUUGCCAUCGUUGAGUUUGGAACCCUGAACAGACUGCUGGUGAUAAGCCAGAGGAAGGUGAGGAUGACAUCAAGUCAUCAUGCCCCUUAUGCCCUAGGUGAUACACAUGCUAUAAUGGCCAGGACAAAGGGUCGCGAUCCCGCGAGGGUGAGCUAACCCCAAAAACCCAUCCUCAAUUCAGAUUGCAGGCUGCAACUCGCCUGCAUGAAGUCGAAAUCACUAGUAAUUGCCGGUCAGCCAUGCGGUGGUGAAUUUGUUCCCGGGCCUUGUACACACUUCCCGUCACCCUAUGGGAACUGGCUAUGCCCAAAUUCGUUACCUUAACCGCAAGGAAGGGGAUGCCGAAGGCAGGGCUAGUGACUGGAGUGAAGUCGUAACAAGGUAGACGUACUGGAAGGUGUGGCUGGAUCACCUCCUUU
rnacentral:rRNA from 1 species